CAGGGAACAGUUAGAGACAGGUAACAGCUAGAGACAGGUAACAGCUAGAGACUGGGAACAGUUAGAGACAGGUAACAGUUAGAGACAGGUAACAGUUAGAGACAGGUAACAGUUAGAGACAGGUAACAGCUAGAGACAGGUAACAGUUAGAGACAGGUAACAGU